CAGCUGAAGGGGCAUGUCAAACCCACUUUGCAUACAGGACGAUAAUAUUGCACACACCUAGGAGCAAAGGCGUGGACGUGUACACAGAAGAUAACUAAGACAAGGAUGAAGUCCAAACUCCUUAGCCUGCCGUGAUGUCUGCCAUGAAUGGGCUCCUGCCUACAUCUCCAGCUUCAUCUGCUACCUCUCCCUUCAUGAUGGUCUUUUCUUAGUUGGUCAAGAGAGAUGAUCAUAAUUCCUCUUGCAAGAAAAAAGCAAAAUCAAAUAGAAAGAAAAAUGCAGAUAAGAAAGUCUACAAUUAGAAAUUAAUGAAGACCUUUUGGGAAAAGAAGAAAAAGUAAUUGGCAGAAAACCAUCAGCCAAGGCUUGAAAUAUGGAAAGUUAAGAAACCAUAUACACCCAAAGGUGAAAGAAGAUUGGUAUCAUUUAUGGAGCUGCUUAUAAUGACUUGUGAAAUGUGCCAGUGGAUUAGAAACUUUCUAGGCUGAGUGGGGAAUGCAAAAGUCGCUCUAUUAAUACUGAUCUCGUCCAGUAGGCGUGACAUCAAUGCUUGGUAAAAUGGAGAGAUGAUAAUGUACAUGUUCUAAUAGGUCUAAAUACUUUAUAAGUCACUGUCAGGGAAACUACUCACUAGAAGUAAAUUUGGCAGUUGUUGAGGACUGUAUUGAGUAGUCUUUAGGGAC